rnacentral:tRNA from 1 species
GGAAGGCAUUCGCGUCCGGUGGCGCGGCCGGGCUUCAAACCCGGUUGGGGGCGUCAAACGCUCUCGGGUCGGUUCGACUCCGGCUGUCUUCCGCC